GGGGCUGUGGCGCAGCUGGUAGCGCAUUUGACUGGCAGUCAAAGGGUCAGGGGUUCGAGUCCCCUCAGCUCCACCA
rnacentral:tRNA from 2 species